ensembl:lncRNA
GUACAGAGUCAAUGUGGAGGCUAUAUACAGGGGGUACCAGUACAGAGUCAAUGUGGAGGCUAUAUACAGGGGGUACCGGUAGAGAGUCAAUGUGGAGGCUAUAUACAGGGGGUACCGGUAGAGAGUCAAUGUGGAGGCUAUAUACAGGGGGUACCGGUACAGAGUCAAUGUGGAGGCUAUAUACAGGGGGUACCGGUAGAGAGUCAAUGUGGAGGCUAUAUACAGGGGGUACCGGUAGAGAGUCAAUGUGGAGGCUACAUACAGGGGGUACCAGUACAGAGGGUACCAGCACAGAGUCAAUGUGGAGGCUAUAUACAGGGGGUACCAGUACAGAGUCAAUGUGGAGGCUAUAUACAGGGGGUAC